rnacentral:rRNA from 1 species
CCUACGGGGCGCAGCAGUGGGGAAUAUUGGACAAUGGGCGAAAGCCUGAUCCAGCCAUGCCGCGUGUGUGAAGAAGGCCUUCGGGUUGUAAAGCACUUUCAGUGGGGAAGAAAGCCUUGGGGCUAAUACCCUCGAGGAAGGACAUCACCCACAGAAGAAGCACCGGCUAACUCCGUGCCAGCAGCCGCGGUAAUACGGAGGGUGCGAGCGUUAAUCGGAAUUACUGGGCGUAAAGCGCGCGUAGGCGGUCUGAUAAGCCGGUUGUGAAAGCCCCGGGCUCAACCUGGGAACGGCAUCCGGAACUGUCAGGCUAGAGUGCAGGAGAGGAAGGUAGAAUUCCCGGUGUAGUGGUGAAAUGCGUAGAGAUCGGGAGGAAUACCAGUGGCGAAGGCGGCCUUCUGGACUGACACUGACGCUGAGGUGCGAAAGCGUGGGUAGCAAACAGGAUUAGAUACCCGGGUAGUC